rnacentral:rRNA from 1 species
GGGUUGUGAGGUUAAGCGACUAAGCGUACACGGUGGAUGCCCUGGCAGUCAGAGGCGAUGAAGGGCGUGCUAAUCUGCGAUAAGCGCCGGUAAGGUGAUAUGAACCGUUAUAACCGGCGAUACCCGAAUGGGGAAACCCAGUGUGACUCGUCACACUAUCAUUAACUGAAUCCAUAGGUUAAUGAGGCGAACCGGGGGAACUGAAACAUCUAAGUACCCCGAGGAAAAGAAAUCAACCGAGAUUCCCCCAGUAGCGGCGAGCGAACGGGGAGGAGCCCAGAGCCUGAAUCAGCAUGUGUGUUAGUGGAAGCGUCUGGAAAGGCGCGCGAUACAGGGUGACAGCCCCGUACACAAAAGCGCAUGUGCUGUGAGCUCGAUGAGUAGGGCGGGACACGUGGUAUCCUGUCUGAAUAUGGGGGGACCAUCCUCCAAGGCUAAAUACUCCUGACUGACCGAUAGUGAACCAGUACCGUGAGGGAAAGGCGAAAAGAACCCCGGCGAGGGGAGUGAAAAAGAACCUGAAACCGUGUACGUACAAGCAGUGGGAGCCCCACCACCAAAGCAUUUGCUGUACCGCGUUGACGGAGCGAAGCGACGUCAAACCGAUAAAACAGCAGUGUAAAGUGAGCCGCAGGGCGCUUUGCGCGACAGCGCAAAGGCAGGCGGUUUCGCGUAGCGAAAGCGAAUGCUUUGGGGUGGGGUGACUGCGUACCUUUUGUAUAAUGGGUCAGCGACUUAUAUUCUGUAGCAAGGUUAACCGAAUAGGGGAGCCGGAGGGAAACCGAGUCUUAAUUGGGCGUUAAGUUGCAGGGUAUAGACCCGAAACCCGGUGAUCUAGCCAUGGGCAGGUUGAAGGUUGGGUAACACUAACUGGAGGACCGAACCGACUAAUGUUGAAAAAUUAGCGGAUGACCUGUGGCUGGGGGUGAAAGGCCAAUCAAACCGGGAGAUAGCUGGUUCUCCCCGAAAGCUAUUUAGGUAGCGCCUCGUGAAUUCAUCUCCGGGGGUAGAGCACUGUUUCGGCUAGGGGGCCAUCCCGGCUUACCAACCCGAUGCAAACUGCGAAUACCGGAGAAUGUUAUCACGGGAGACACACGGCGGGUGCUAACGUCCGUCGUGAAGAGGGAAACAACCCAGACCGCCAGCUAAGGUCCCAAAGUCAUGGUUAAGUGGGAAACGAUGUGGGAAGGCCCAGACAGCCGUGAUGUUGGCUUAGAAGCAGCCAUCAUUUAAAGAAAGCGUAAUAGCUCACUGGUCGAGUCGGCCUGCGCGGAAGAUGUAACGGGGCUAAACCAUGCACCGAAGCUGCGGCAGCGACACUGUGUGUUGUUGGGUAGGGGAGCGUUCUGUAAGCCUGUGAAGGUGUGUCGUGAGGCAUGCUGGAGGUAUCAGAAGUGCGAAUGCUGACAUAAGUAACGAUAAAGCGGGUGAAAAGCCCGCUCGCCGGAAGACCAAGGGUUCCUGUCCAACGUUAAUCGGGGCAGGGUGAGUCGACCCCUAAGGCGAGGCCGAAAGGCGUAGUCGAUGGGAAACGGGUUAAUAUUCCCGUACUUGGUGUUACUGCGAAGGGGGGACGGAGAAGGCUAUGUUGGCCGGGCGACGGUUGUCCCGGUUUAAGCGUGUAGGUGUGUGUUCCAGGUAAAUCCGGUUCACUUUAACACUGAGGCGUGACGACGAGGCACUACGGUGCUGAAGCAACAAAUGCCCUGCUUCCGGGAAAGCCUCUAAGCAUCAGGUAACAUCAAAUCGUACCCCAAACCGACACAGGUGGUCAGGUAGAGAAUACCAAGGCGCUUGAGAGAACUCGGGUGAAGGAACUAGGCAAAAUGGUGCCGUAACUUCGGGAGAAGGCACGCUGACACGUAGGUGAAGUGAUUUACUCAUGGAGCUGAAGUCAGUCGAAGAUACCAGCUGGCUGCAACUGUUUAUUAAAAACACAGCACUGUGCAAACACGAAAGUGGACGUAUACGGUGUGACGCCUGCCCGGUGCCGGAAGGUUAAUUGAUGGGGUCAGCGCAAGCGAAGCUCCUGAUCGAAGCCCCGGUAAACGGCGGCCGUAACUAUAACGGUCCUAAGGUAGCGAAAUUCCUUGUCGGGUAAGUUCCGACCUGCACGAAUGGCGUAAUGAUGGCCAGGCUGUCUCCACCCGAGACUCAGUGAAAUUGAACUCGCUGUGAAGAUGCAGUGUACCCGCGGCAAGACGGAAAGACCCCGUGAACCUUUACUAUAGCUUGACACUGAACAUUGAGCCUUGAUGUGUAGGAUAGGUGGGAGGCUUUGAAGUGUGGACGCCAGUCUGCAUGGAGCCGACCUUGAAAUACCACCCUUUAAUGUUUGAUGUUCUAACGUGGACCCGUUACCCGGGUUGCGGACAGUGUCUGGUGGGUAGUUUGACUGGGGCGGUCUCCUCCUAAAGAGUAACGGAGGAGCACGAAGGUUGGCUAAUCCUGGUCGGACAUCAGGAGGUUAGUGCAAUGGCAUAAGCCAGCUUGACUGCGAGCGUGACGGCGCGAGCAGGUGCGAAAGCAGGUCAUAGUGAUCCGGUGGUUCUGAAUGGAAGGGCCAUCGCUCAACGGAUAAAAGGUACUCCGGGGAUAACAGGCUGAUACCGCCCAAGAGUUCAUAUCGACGGCGGUGUUUGGCACCUCGAUGUCGGCUCAUCACAUCCUGGGGCUGAAGUAGGUCCCAAGGGUAUGGCUGUUCGCCAUUUAAAGUGGUACGCGAGCUGGGUUUAGAACGUCGUGAGACAGUUCGGUCCCUAUCUGCCGUGGGCGCUGGAGAACUGAGGGGGGCUGCUCCUAGUACGAGAGGACCGGAGUGGACGCAUCACUGGUGUUCGGGUUGUCAUGCCAAUGGCACUGCCCGGUAGCUAAAUGCGGAAGAGAUAAGUGCUGAAAGCAUCUAAGCACGAAACUUGCCCCGAGAUGAGUUCUCCCUGAGACUUAGAGUCUCCUGAAGGAACGUUGAAGACGACGACGUUGAUAGGCCGGGUGUGUAAGCGCAGCGAUGCGUUGAGCUAACCGGUACUAAUGAACCGUGAGGCUUAACCUUACAACGCCGAAG